GCUCUCUUCUUUUGUCUGCCACCAUGUAAGAUGUACCUUUCCCCUUCUGCCAUGCUCAUGAGGCUUCCCCAGCUAUGUGGAACUACCGGCCAACACCUAGAAAAUGGAAGGAACCUACGAUGAAAUAUUGGGGGCUACUUCCCCCAAUAAGUUAACACUUUGGGGACUGUUGGGAAGUUGUAGGUGCAGAUACCUAAGGAAAAUAAUGCCCUAAGUCUUCCUUUAUGACCUACACAUAUGGAGUGAGAGGCUGUAAGAAUGCUUUCUAUGGACCAGAUGUGGAUCAUUUGUGCAAGAACCGGCCUAAGCAUGUCUUGGAUUCUAUCCAAGAAGGUUGCCUGUGGGUAAAGAAAAGCUCAUAAAACAACUGCAGCCAUCUUCCUCCUGCUCUAAGGAUGAAGCCAACCAACAGAGGAAGGUAGAACCAACAGAAUGACCAAAGAGUGGAGCUGAGAAAUAACACACCAGUUCCACAGUCUGCUCAACCUUUGGUCUUCUGGUUAUAUAAGAUAAAUAUUGGACAAAAAACCAAACACCGCAUGUUCUCACUCAUAGGUGGGAAUUGAACAAUGAGAACACAUGGACACAGGAAGGGGAACAUCACACUCUGGGGACUGUUGUGGGGUGGGGGGAAGGGGGAGGGAUAUCAUUAGGAGAUAUACCUAAUGCUAAAUGACAAGUUAAUGGGUGCAGCACACCAGCAUGGCACAUGUAUACAUAUGUAACUAACCUGCACAUUGUGCACAUGUACCCUAACACUGAAAGUAUAAUAAUGAAAAUAAAAUUAAAAAAGAGAAGUACAUCAAUAAAUAUGAUUUCUUCAAAUGU